GGAAGUGGACUAGCUAUUUUAUUUCAGUUAGUAUGGUUUUAAUGGUCGAUAAAUUGAAUCUCAUAGUCCAAUGUUUCCGGAAAUUGAGCUUAAUAGGGUACUCAAAAAAAGUAGUAAUUCUAUUUAAAAUUUCACAUGAUAGUCGUUAUCUAGUACACCGGUUUUGUUACACUGCUAAUAAUAAAAGCAGGUUACAUAAUUACAUAAUACAUAGGAGACAAUCAGAUAUUACAAUAUAUAUAUCCUAGAAGUAAAAUUUCCAGGAUGAAACUAGAUGGUGGUGAUCAUGUCCACUUGCUGAAUUUCAUGUGCUCUAGUUUGAUGAAAUUCUCUGCUUCUUUGUCAAUGUCCUCAUACUUUGCCACCCUCUCACUCUUCACCUUCCUUUUAUGAUGAGAUGGAACCUUCAUCACGUUACUCAAGUCUUCGCAUUCAAUAACUUGGCUCGGCGUCUCAGCCAUAGAGACCCAGUGAAGGUGAUGGUGAUAGCGAUGGUGAUGAUGACUGUUAUGUUCAAGGAAAGUACUAAAUACCAUUUUUCUAAUAAAAGGUCUUGUUUGCUCUGUACUUGCUGUUACAUAUACAUUUG
rnacentral:lncRNA from 1 species